rnacentral:tRNA from 1 species
GUGGUUAUAGUAUAAAUAAUACUCUUGCUUUUCACGUAAGGAAUACAAAUUUUGUUAAACA